rnacentral:rRNA from 1 species
AGAGUUUGAUCCUGGCUCAGAACGAACGCUGGCGGCAGGCCUAACACAUGCAAGUCGAACGAUAAGCCACCUUCGGGUGGUGGACAGUGGCAGACGGGUGAGUAACGCGUGGGAACGUGUCUUUCGGUUCGGAAUAACCCAGGGAAACUUGGGCUAAUACCGGAUACGCCCUUCGGGGGAAAGAUUCAUUGCCGAAAGAUCGGCCCGCGUCGGAUUAGCUAGUUGGUGGGGUAAUGGCUCACCAAGGCGACGAUCCGUAGCUGGUCUGAGAGGAUGAUCAGCCACAUUGGGACUGAGACACGGCCCAAACUCCUACGGGAGGCAGCAGUGGGGAAUAUUGGACAAUGGGCGCAAGCCUGAUCCAGCCAUGCCGCGUGAGUGAUGAAGGCCCUAGGGUUGUAAAGCUCUUUUGUGCGGGAAGAUAAUGACGGUACCGCAAGAAUAAGCCCCGGCUAACUUCGUGCCAGCAGCCGCGGUAAUACGAAGGGGGCCAGCGUUGCUCGGAAUCACUGGGCGUAAAGGGUGCGUAGGCGGGUCUUUAAGUCAGGGGUGAAAUCCUGGAGCUCAACUCCAGAACUGCCUUUGAUACUGAGGAUCUUGAGUUCGGGAGAGGUGAGUGGAACUGCGAGUGUAGAGGUGAAAUUCGUAGAUAUUCGCAAGAACACCGGUGGCGAAGGCGGCCCACUGGUCCGGUACUGACGCUGAGGUGCGAAAGCGUGGGGAGCAAACAGGAUUAGAUACCCUGGUAGUCCACGCCUUA